rnacentral:rRNA from 1 species
ACGACUCUGGUAUUGAUUGGUGCUUGCAUCAUGAUUUACAUUUGAGUGAGUGGCGAAAGGUGAGUAACACGUGGGAAACCUGCCCAGAAGCGGGGGAUAACACCUGGAAACAGAUGCUAAUACCGCAUAACAACUUGGACCGCAUGGUCCGAGUUUGAAAGAUGGCUUCGGCUAUCACUUUUGGAUGGUCCCGCGGCGUAUUAGCUAGAUGGUGAGGUAACGGCUCACCAUGGCAAUGAUACGUAGCCGACCUGAGAGGGUAAUCGGCCACAUUGGGACUGAGACACGGCCCAAACUCCUACGGGAGGCAGCAGUAGGGAAUCUUCCACAAUGGACGAAAGUCUGAUGGAGCAACGCCGCGUGAGUGAAGAAGGGUUUCGGCUCGUAAAACUCUGUUGUUAAAGAAGAACAUAUCUGAGAGUAACUGUUCAGGUAUUGACGGUAUUUAACCAGAAAGCCACGGCUAACUACGUGCCAGCAGCCGCGGUAAUACGUAGGUGGCAAGCGUUGUCCGGAUUUAUUGGGCGUAAAGCGAGCGCAGGCGGUUUUUUAAGUCUGAUGUGAAAGCCUUCGGCUCAACCGAAGAAGUGCAUCGGAAACUGGGAAACUUGAGUGCAGAAGAGGACAGUGGAACUCCAUGUGUAGCGGUGAAAUGCGUAGAUAUAUGGAAGAACACCAGUGGCGAAAGGCGGCUGUCUGGUCUGUAUCUGACGCUGAGGCUCGAAAGUAUGGGUAGCAAUCAGGAUUAGAUACCCUGGUAGUCCAUACCGUAAACGAUGAAUGCUAAGUGUUGGAGGGUUUCCGCCCUUCAGUGCUGCAGCUAACGCAUUAAGCAUUCCGCCUGGGGAGUACGGCCGCAAGGCUGAAACUCAAAGGAAUUGACGGGGGCCCGCACAAGCGGUGGAGCAUGUGGUUUAAUUCGAAGCUACGCGAAGAACCUUACCAGGUCUUGACAUACUAUGCAAAUCUAAGAGAUUAGACGUUCCCUUCGGGGACAUGGAUACAGGUGGAGCAUGGUUGUCGUCAGCUCGUGUCGUGAGAUGUUGGGUUAAGUCCCGCAACGAGCGCAACCCUUAUUAUCAGUUGCCAGCAUUAAGUUGGGCACUCUGGUGAGACUGCCGGUGACAAACCGGAGGAAGGUGGGGAUGACGUCAAAUCAUCAUGCCCCUUAUGACCUGGGCUACACACGUGCUACAAUGGAUGGUACAACGAGUUGCGAACUCGCGAGAGUAAGCUAAUCUCUUAAAGCCAUUCUCAGUUCGGAUUGUAGGCUGCAACUCGCCUACAUGAAGUCGGAAUCGCUAGUAUUUUUUGGAUCAGCAUGCCGCGGUGAAUACGUUCCCGGUCCUUGUACCUUUUCUCCCGUCACACCAUGAGAGUU